CCAUCGUCUGUCUCGCGGGCGGGGCCAGCUUGUCCUGUCGCCGCAGGGCGCUGGGCGCUCUAGCACCCGUGGGAGAAAACAGCGGCCCGGUGUCGCCCUGUGUGGAUUGUUCGUUAUUAGUCUGUGGGUUGAAAGUCAGGGCAGGCGCCGCGCUCUGUGCACCGUGUCAGGGCGGCUCCAGUGAAGCCUGCGAGUUCUGUCACCCCGCGGAAAAGCCUCGAUGGUGUGCUCAGACUACGUUUUCAAGCUUUGGACUGCAACAAUGUGAUCUAGAAACUUAUUUUUAAAAAUGAAUGAAAGAUUAAAUUCUCAAAUAAUAAUCACUUGUAUCUAGUAACUGGGGCCUUAAGUAAAACAUCAGUUAUCAGAAGACUUGCGAUAAAACAGUGAGAAUUGGCCGCACUGUGACAUGCCACUUCUUUUCACUACGAGAGAGAGAGAGAAAGUAAUAAUGGUGGAUUAAAAGUGAAAAUUAAUAAAGGACCGUGAUCUACCCCUUGA